AAGAGAGAGAGAGAGAGAGAGAGAGAGGUAGCAAGAAGAAGAGAGAGAGAGGUAGCAAGAGGAAGAGAGAGAGAGAGAGAGGUAGCAAGAGGAAGAGAGAGAGAGGUAGCAAGAAGAAGAGAGAGAGAGGUAGCAAGAGGAAGAGAGAGAGAGGUAGCAAGAGGAAGAGAGAGAGAGAGAGAGGUAGCAAGAGGAAGAGAGAGAGGUAGCAAGAGGAAGAGAGAGAGAGGUAGCAAGAGGAAGAGAGAGAGAGGUAGCAAGAGGAAGAGAGAGAGAGAGAGAGAGAGGUAGCAAGAGGAAGAGAGAGAGAGGUAGCAAGAAGAGAGAGAAAGAGGUAGCAAGAGGAAGAGAGAGAGAGGUAGCAAGAAGAGAGAGAGAGAGAGAGGUAGCAAGAGGAAGAGAGAGAGAGGUAGCAAGAGGAAGAGAGAGA
ensembl:lncRNA